GUGCUUGCCUUGGCAGCACAUAUACUAAAACCGGAAUAAUACAGAGAAAAUUAGCAUGGCCCUUGUGCUAGGAUGACCAAAAAAAAAAAAAAGUUUCUCCAAAUCUUU
ensembl:snRNA U6 U6 spliceosomal RNA